GUAUCUCUGUAGAGUCUGCAUAUCAAUAAGCGGAGGAAAAGAAACUAACUAGGAUUCCCUCAGUAACGGCGAGUGAAGCGGGAAGAGCUCAAAUUUGAAAUCUUCAAGGUUCUACCUUGACGAAUUGUAGUUUAAAGAAGUGUUUUCUGUUGGAGUUUUGGUAAAAGUUCUUUGGAAUAGGACAUCAUAGAGGGUGAGAAUCCCGUAUUUGACCAUUAUUUCCAACUUUGUGAUACACUUUCAAAGAGUCGGAUUGUUUGGGAAUGCAGUCCAAAAUGGGUGGUAAAUUUCAUCUAAAGCUAAAUACUGGCGAGAGACCGAUAGCGAACAAGUACCGUGAGGGAAAGAUGAAAAGAACUUUGAAAAGAGAGUUAAACAGUACGUGAAAUUGUCAAAAGGGAAGCGUUUGACACCAGUGUUGUUUUCUCGAAAAUCAAUUAAAAAUGGCAGGGUUUUGUGUUGUAUUGACUUUAUCAGCUUUCUGCACUUUUUUCCUGUCUUUUUUAAUGCACUUUUCGUUUAACAAGUCAACAUCAAUUUCUUUUGUUGUAAAAGGGUCAUUGGAAGGUGGCUUUCUUUUCGGAGAAAGUGUUUAUAGCCUUUGACUUCUGCAAUCGGAGAGAUUGAGGUCUGCAGCGUAGAUCCUUCGGGGUUAGAUGCAUUUGUGCUAAGUUAUAGCCUUUCAUAGACAACUUGUUGACUAUGAUCAGUCAUGUAGCUUACUCGCUUAUGCUAUUAUACCUACGCUUAGGAUGUUGAUCUCUCACAGUCGAGC
rnacentral:rRNA from 1 species